CCCUUAGAUGUUCUGGGCCGCACGCGUGUUACACUGAUGCGUUCAUCAAGCACCACACCUUGGCUCGAGAGGCCUGGGUAAUCUUGAAAUCGCAUCGUGCUGGGGAUAGAUUAUUGUAAUUUUUAAUCUUCAACGAGGAAUUUCUAGUAGGCGUUUGUCAUCAACAAGCACCGAUUACGUCCCUGCCCUUUGUACACACCGCCCGUCGCACCUACCGAUUGAAUGGUCCGGUGAAAUCUCGGGACGGCGGCUUGGUCGCUUGCGUCCGACUGCUGAAACUUGAUUAAACCAUAUCAUUUAGAGGAAGGUGAAGUCGUAACA
rnacentral:rRNA from 1 species